CCAAGCCCACAGGAAUACCCUUCAUGUUUUGCAAGAGGGAACAAAGGUACAUUUUAUUUUCAUGGUAUCUGGGAUCCCAUAUUGCAUAAACCUCCCAAACAGUGGUUCUUACUAUAAAAUGACACUUUUGAAAUGCAUCCAAACCUAAAUAUGACUUUGCCAUUAGGUAUAAAGGCCACAAACACAGCUUGAUUUUUAUUCUUGUGAUGAUCAAAUCCUUCAAUUUUGACGUAGUGAUGAUUUUACUCUGCUCAGUGAGAUUCUCACCAUAUUGGUUACUGGCCCAAGCCAAAUGAGCUCAUGAGCUCUGGCUUGUGAACUGUGACACCAAGAGCGAUGAAGAUCAAUUUUAAUCACAAUAAUUGAUCUGUUCCCUUAGUCACUCCCGGUGUCAGUCACGCAUGAGGCGCAAGAGGCAGAAAAUGUUAAAUAGGAAUUCAGGGGGUAGAACACCAGAAUGAGUAAAUCCAGGUGUGAUACAGCACUGCUGAGAACUCUGACCCUGAGAGAACACUUAUCAUUAAAUGCAGUUUUUUUAGUAGGUGCAAAUAAAAGCAAUACAAGGAUUGGACUCACAUUGUAUUUAGAGUCUACAUGCAGCAAAAAGAAAUUAGGGUGAUAAAGACAUGGGGGAGAUCUUGGCUGAAUCUCCAAGGCAGAAGCAGUUGGCCAUGGGAGGAGGGAUGAUGUUAUCCCUCUCCCGUGGGAUGAGCCAGGCAGCUUGGCUUCUUCCCAUUGAAUGGAGGAGCACUAGCACUGGGAAGUCAUCCAUUGCCCACCAGCUACUUUGCUUUUCUACUUGCAGGAGGUUCACCACAGCAGGAGGACUCUGCAGCUCAGAAUUACUGAUGGCCCAAAAUGCUGGUGACUCACCAGAUUUCCACUGCAGGAGGUUGGCAACUGCACGAGUCCAGUUCAAAGAGGGAAACGACAAAUCAGUCCUGACUCCACAUGGAGAGAAGAUGGCAAAAUACAGCUCUGCACAAUGUCUGGACCUGGAUAAACAGGGAUGUUCUGUUUCAUGGCAAGAAAACUUCUUCCAGCAUGGGCAUUAUUUAUCUGAAGCAGCAGAGGGAUUUCUCCUGUCUCUUUGUGGAACAAUGAAGACAAACAGCACUGUAAAGCCCAGGAUGAAGUGCUCAGGAGUUCAGAACAAACCUGCCAAGAUCUGAAAGGCAGCAUCCAGAGGGCACGAAAGCAUCAGUUCAAUAAAACCAUUUAAUUCUCCA
rnacentral:lncRNA from 1 species